CGAAAGCCUGACGGAGCAAGACCGCGUGGGGGAGGAAUGCCUUAGGGUUGUAAACCCCUUUUAUCUGGGAAGAACAAAAUGACGGUACCAGAUGAAUAAGCCUCGGCUAACUCCGUGCCAGCAGCCGCGGUAAUACGGAGGAGGCAAGCGUUAUCCGGAUUUAUUGGGCGUAAAGCGUCCGCAGGUGGCGAUUCAAGUCUGCUGUCAAAGCACGGGGCUUAACUCCGUAAAGGCAGUGGAAACUGAAUAGCUAGAGUGCCGUAGGGGUAGAGGGAAUUCCCGGUGUAGCGGUGAAAUGCGUAGAGAUCGGGAAGAACAUCGGUUGCGAAAGCGCUCUGCUGGGCCGCAACUGACACUCAGGGACGAAAGCUAGGGGAGCG
rnacentral:rRNA from 1 species